UUAUAUUUAAAUGUUUGAGGCAUAAUAAUAUUUGAAAUUAUUAGGGAAAGUUUAAGUCUUUCAAAUAUAAA
rnacentral:tRNA from 1 species